AUACGUAGGUGGCAAGCGUUGUCCGGAAUUAUUGGGCGUAAAGAGUGCGUAGGCGGUCUAUUAAGUCUCAUUUGAAAGCCCAUGGCUUAACCAUGGAGGGUGAUGGGAAGCUGAUAGACUUGAGUAAAGGAGAGGAAGGUGGAAUUCCACGUGUGGCGGUGAAAUGCGUAGAGAUGUGGAGGAACACCAGUGGCGAAGGCGGCCUUCUGGCCUUUGUCUGACGCUGAGGCACGAAAGCGUGGGUAGCAAACAGGAUUAGAUACCCUGGUAGUCCACGCCGUAAACGAUGAGUACUAAGUGUUGGGGGAAACCUCGGUGCUGAAGUUAACGCAUUAAGUACUCCGCCUGGGAAGUACGGUCGCAAGACUGAA
rnacentral:rRNA from 1 species